CUGGCAAAAUUCAAGGAGGGGGCAGAGAUGGAGAGUUCAAAGGAAGACAAAUGGACAAUGCGCAGGACCUGCUUUCCUUUGGUGGUCUUCAAGUGGUGAUCAAUGGGCUGAACAGCACAGAGCCCCUCGUGAAGGAGUAUGCUGCGUUUGUGCUGGGCGCUGCCUUUUCCACAACCCCAAGGUCCAGGUGGAGGCCAUCGAAGGGGGAGCCCUGCAGAAGCUGCUGGUCAUCCUG
rnacentral:lncRNA from 1 species